rnacentral:rRNA from 1 species
UACGUAGGGGGCUAGCGUUGUCCGGAAUCAUUGGGCGUAAAGCGCGUGUAGGCGGUUCGGUAAGUCUGCCGUGAAAACCCAGGGCUCAACCCUGGGCGUGCGGUGGAUACUGCCGGGCUAGAGGGUGGUAGAGGCGAGUGGAAUUCCCGGUGUAGCGGUGAAAUGCGCAGAUAUCGGGAGGAACACCAACGGCGAAGGCAGCACUCUGGGCUGGAACUGACGCUGAGGAGCGAAAGCGUGGGUAGCAAACAGG